AGCCCCGCCAGCCUACAGAGGAGAGGGUGGUGGGGGCAGUCCCCGGCCCUCCCCUCUAAGCCCGGGCGAUGGAGGGAGGCCCGGCGCCCCACCUGCAAGAAGGCACCACCACUCAAGUCAGCGAGGGCCCUUCCAGGCUCAACUGCAGCGGGACGCACUUGGUCUCCAGGGCAACGCGGAGGGGCGGGAGCCCCGCUAGCCCCGCCCUCACUUCCUUUCGGAGGUGGGAGGAGAUGGCCCCUAGCAACCGGAGCGCCCCACCCGCAGCAGUGAAACUGUUAGGAACCCACUCCUUCCCUGCCCUUGCAAGGGGGCGCCUCAGGGCUGUCGGGCUGUCAGGAGCGUCCAGAGCAGCGCAUUAACUGUUCCGAAAACUGAAGGAGACAGAUGUAACUCCGAGCCAUGGUAGUCAAGAAAAUCCAUCCCCUCUGCUUGGUUAAAACCAACCUCUGCGGGCAAUAUCUACACAGUGCUUGGCUCUAAGUAGGAAGUUGAACGCGUCUCUAAACAAGACCAUCUCUUUCUCAGAUUACAUGGUUGAAGGGCUCCGAAUUCAGGCCUCAGGCUUGUAUGGAAUUAGGAUGAAAAGACUCUUUUCUAGGACUCCGAGUUCCAUUCAUCCUCCCCACCACUGCCACAUAACCCCUUAAAAUACCGCUCAGACCUGCCCUCUCUCCAGCUCAGAAGUACCCCCAGCCCCCAACUCUGCCGCCCCUGCCAAAUCCCAACUCACAGUCCUAGAUGGCCACAGAGGCCCCCACGUCUGAUUCCCACCUUACCCCUCCCUGCUUCAGCAAGCUCUCCACUCUUCCUGCCUAUGCCCCUUGCCCCCUCAACCUGCUCCUCUGUCUUCACACCUCCCAGAGCCUGCCACCCUUCCACUACCAGGGACAAGUGUCCCAGCCACUCACGUUCCUCACCCCUUGUCCACUCUCCUCUCUCUGGGUGUGCUUAUAUGUUGGUUUACCGGCAAAGACAGGAGUGCCGAACAUCCAGAGUAGGUGUUUCCUGAAGGACAGGAGAGCUGGAUCCUCAGGAACUUCUCACUGCAUGCCAUUCGCUGUCUGAAGAAGACAUGGGGAGAAGUUUCCAGGUGGGGGGCCUCUCUCCAUAGGAGCAGGGUGGAUAAGGAAUCUCCCACAGAGCUGGCAUUGCCCCUUCUUUCAGCUGGGACCUUCUGGGAGGCAGCCAACCUUGGGGACAGGAAUUGAGCUGGAGUGGAGCCUCUAAGCCUCCCUGGAAACUUAGGCCACCAGUUCUGCUUCAGGAAUCUGUUCCGUUCAAUGUCAGAGAUUGGGCUGAGCCAAACUGGACAUUUUCGAGUGUUCACUUUAUAGCAACAAAGUCUAUGUCCAUUUGGAACCAAAACCAGUCAAAAAUAAUGCUGCUCGGAAGAAAUGAGAAUGGAGUCCCAGCAUGAAGACCAGUAUGAAGGCUCCCCUCCCCAGGCCCAUGGAGCCCUUUGAGCUCAGAGGAAACCAGUGGAAACCCUCAUCCAGACAGUUUUGAUGUUUUGGGUUCUCAAAUAAAAAUCAUUG
rnacentral:lncRNA from 1 species